rnacentral:tRNA from 1 species
AUCUAAAAUGACAGAUAGAUGUAUAGGAUUUAAGCUCCUACCAGGAAGAAACUGCCUUCUUUUAGA